rnacentral:snRNA from 1 species
GUGCUUGCUUCGACAGCACAUAUACUAAAAUUGGAGUGAUACAGAGAAGAUUAGCAUGGCCCUUGUGCAGGGAUGACACACAAAUUCAUGAAGUUUUCUAUUAAAAA